GUAGGGAAUAUUGCACAAUGGAGGAAACUCUGAUGCAGCGACGCCGCGUGAGUGAUGAAGGCCUUCGGGUCGUAAAGCUCUGUCGCAGGGGAAUAACACAAUGAAGGUACCCUGUAAGAAAGGAUCGGCUAACUUCGUGCCAGCAGCCGCGGUAAGACGAGGGAUCCUAGCGUUGUCCGGAAUCAUUGGGCGUAAAGCGGAUGUAGGUGGCUAUGUAAGUCAGAUGUGAAAGCCUGGGGCUCAACCCCAGAAGUGCAUUUGAUACUGCGUAGCUUGAGUGUCGGAGAGGUUACUAGAAUUGUUGGUGUAGUGGUGAAAUACGUAGAUAUCAACAGGAAUACCGGAGGCGAAGGCGGGUAACUGGCCGAACACUGACACUGAGAUCCGAAAGCGUGGGGAUCAAACAGGAUUAGAUACCCCUGUAGUCC
rnacentral:rRNA from 1 species